GCGGCGGUGGUGUGCAUCC
rnacentral:misc_RNA from 1 species